rnacentral:rRNA from 1 species
GACUUCUGGUUUAAUGCACCUGGCCCGCGGCCGUAAGGCCUGUGAGUGCCGGCGCGCGUUUACCAUCCUUCUAGAAAACGGGUCUUCCCUUAACUGGGCCGGAUUCGAAGAAUUUCUCUGACCGGCCAAUACUAGCACCCCCAACAUUACUUCAGUCAUAGAAACCAACAAAAUAGAACCGAAGUCCUAGAUUAUUAUUCCAUGCUCAUGUAUUCAUAGCAAUAGCCUGCUUUAAACACUCUAAUUUUUUCAAAGUAAAUGAUCUAGAUCCCUGGAUUCGGUCAAGACUAACUUAUGCGAAAGCAUU